GGGGAAUAUUGCACAAUGGGGGAAACCCUGAUGCAGCAACGCCGCGUGAAGGAUGAAGGUUUUCGGAUUGUAAACUUCUUUAGUCAGGGACGAAUAAAUGACGGUACCCAAGAAGAAAGUCCCGGCUAACUACGUGCCAGCAGCCGCGGUAAUACGUAGGGGACAAGCGUUGUCCGGAUUUACUGGGCGUAAAGGGCACGCAGGCGGUUUUUUAAGUCAGAUGUGAAAGGUACCGGCUCAACCGGUGACAUGCAUUUGAAACUGAAAGACUUGAGUAUUGGAGAGGCAAGUGGAAUUCCUAGUGUAGCGGUGAAAUGCGUAGAUAUUAGGAGGAACACCGGUGGCGAAGGCGGCUUGCUGGACAAAUACUGACGCUGAGGUGCGAAAGCGUGGGGAGCAAACA
rnacentral:rRNA from 1 species